rnacentral:rRNA from 1 species
GCCUGAUGCAGCGACGCCGCGUGAGGGAUGACGGCCUUCGGGUUGUAAACCUCUUUCAGCAGGGACGAAGCGCAAGUGACGGUACCUGUAGAAGAAGCACCGGCCAACUACGUGCCAGCAGCCGCGGUAAUACGUAGGGUGCGAGCGUUGUCCGGAAUUACUGGGCGUAAAGAGCUCGUAGGUGGUUUGUCGCGUUGUUCGUGAAAACUCACAGCUCAACUGUGGGCGUGCGGGCGAUACGGGCAGACUUGAGUACUGCAGGGGAGACUGGAAUUCCUGGUGUAGCGGUGGAAUGCGCAGAUAUCAGGAGGAACACCGGUGGCGAAGGCGGGUCUCUGGGCAGUAACUGACGCUGAGGAGCGAAAGCGUGGGGAGCGAACAGGAUUAGAUACCCUGGUAGUCCACGCCGUAAACGGUGGGUACUAGGUGUGGGUUUCCUUCCUUGGGAUCCGUGCCGUAGCUAACGCAUUAAGUACCCCGCCUGGGGAGUACGGCCGCAAGGCUAAAACUCAAAGAAAUUGACGGGGGCCCGCACAAGCGGCGGAGCAUGUGGAUUAAUUCGAUGCAACGCGAAGAACCUUACCUGGGUUUGACAUGCACAGGACGCCGGCAGAGAUGUCGGUUCCCUUGUGGCCUG